rnacentral:rRNA from 1 species
AGGAUAAACGCUGGCGGCGUGCCUAACACAUGCAAGUCGAACGCGCUUUCGUCUUCGGAGGAGAGCGAGUGGCGGACGGGUGAGUAACACAUGGGUACCUACCCCACAGUGAGGGAUACCGGCGAGAAAUCGCCGACAAUACCGCAUAGGCUUCUCUUUGGAGACGAGGAGAAGCAAAGUUGCGCAAGCGACGCUGAGGGAUGGGCCUGUGGCCGAUUAGCUAGUUGGGGGGUAACGCCUCCCAAGGCUUCGAUCGGUAGC